AUUUCUGGCAAAAACUAAAAUACGAGUCUAUUUUUUCAUCAGCUUUCUCUUCCUGAAAACGCAAAGGCAAAUAUUCCCACCUGCAUUAAUCGAUCUAGGGUUUCGUGAUUCCGUCAUUGAAUAUGGCUACCCCAGCAGCUUCUGGAUCGAGUCUCUUGAAGUUUCUCAAGCGGCCACAGCCCAUUGACAUACAGGCCGCCGCCCUCUGGGGCGUCGCCGCUGGAUCGGCCGCCCUCUAUCUCGUUCAGCCUUUCGAUUGGCUGAAGAAGACAUUAUUUGAGAAGCCUGACCCUGAAGAGAAGUGAACAAAGACUGAAUGAAUCUUGACGGUAAUUUCUUGCUUAUGGCUGUCGCGGGUUCUGAUCUAGCUGCAUUCAUGAAUUAAUAAAGUCAUUUAGCUGUCGUUUUAGGAUUUAAUGUUGCAUUGCAUUGUUUAUUGGGAUUAAUUGGAAGGGAAUUGGCUGCUCUCCUGUGCAUUCUCUUUUUCAUACAUUUCCUGUUCUAUAAUUUUGGUCUAGUUGCUUUCUUGGUAAUUUCUUGCUGAAUUUCAAGAAAUUUUUGCUGUUGUUCUGAGUCUUGUUACAGGAGCAAAAUAAUUUGACUUUGAUGCUGAUCGCCUACUAUAAUGUGGUGAAAACCUGUGUUGUUGUGUAACCUUUUGGUUGUAGAGUUUGCUAAACUAUUGAAAUGAUACUCGGCCACACUCUUCGAGGCACUGCCAUUCAAAUUUAAUAUCCUGCAAAUUAAAUUAUCAGUUCAGUUUGA